UACCAUCGAGUUGGUAGGCCAUGUUAUGUACCCCAUGCUCAACUCCCAUUGCACCAUUCCUUCCUAAUAAAGCUAAAAGAUUUCUAGGGUGAUAUGCAAGCAACAUGCAUCAGAGAGAGAGAUGCACAAUCGCCGUGGAUAUCUUCUGGCUGUUAUUGAUUCACAGUCGGUGGAUCGGUCAAAAGAGGGUCAAGUGGAAAUCUUUAAAGGGUUGCUCAAUUAGGUCAAAACGGCUCGACAUGUGCCAUCAAUCUAUGAUUGCGCUUUCGAGGAACAGCGUCAACAGAAAGUUUUAAAGGGAGGCUCUCCUUUGCAUGCAUGCGUCAUUAGCAAGCACUUCGAUCCUUAGACUAGGAGAGUGGACACUUAAUACUAGAGAACCCGGUAAAUGCUUAUCUCUAUCCACUUGAAUCUCCUUCCUAUAUUCGUUUUCAUCUCUUUGUACUCUUAAAAAAUAUGAUUUUCUUGGAAAUAAGCAUGUAUGUUGUAACAUGCACAUUUGUAACACUUUGAACAAAAAAAUAUGUUCGUAUGUUCCCUGCAUGCAAAGCAAAUUUUGCAUGUCCGUGGCAGCUUAUUUGUAUUGCGCAGUGCA